CUGUUACAUAAAACAUCAAGCAAGAUUAACAUCUCGAGAAGUGAAAUCCUAAUAAUCAUAAACAGCCACAGGCAGUAUAUCUUCUUUCAACAGUGCACACUUCUCCAAUUCUAAAAGGGGUGGGUAAUGGAAAGGACAUGAGCAACACAACUCGAACAGAUGGACUCUUGAGUUCACAGUCUAGCGGCAUGCAGUACUGCUCUACCAAAGCCAGCAUCGUCCCAGGCUUGCUGGAUAAGCACAUAAUGGGAUGUGAUCGUGUGGACAGACAAUCAGGUGGCUGCCCUACAGAUAUCCUGGAUUGGCACUUGGACUAGGAAAGCUGCUGAAGAGGCUUGCAUCCUGGUUGAAUUGGUGGUUACAAUUGCCGGAGGUUGAGCGGACACUGUCUGCCACCACAACAAACACCAUUGACUUGCGGAAUGGGCUUGGUCCUUCCAAUGUAGAAGGCUAGUGCCCUCCUGACGUCUAGGAAAUGCAGCUGACGCUUCUCCUCCAACUUAUGUGGCUUUGGAAAAAGGUCACAUAAGUAAACGUCCUGGCCCAUAUAAAACGGUGAGACCACCUUGGGCAGGAAGGCCUGGUGUUGCUGCAGCUAGACCCUGUCCUUGUAAAAGACUGUAUAGGGGGAUUCUGAGCAGCAGAAUCAGGAGUGAGACCCAUGCAUGGAACUAGGAUUGUACUGAUGUCAAGGUGAUCGCCUAGCAAGGGUUAAAGAUUUUACAGUUUCAAUGUUCUUACCAGUAUUUGACAGAGAUAGCCAAUGAGAUGAAGAUGAACUGCCUGCAACUUGUGCUCACAUUGUUACUCAGACCCAGAAGACACAAAAUUUGAAUGCUAUCUCUAACUGCAGUACCAAGAAUUCAGACAAGCAAACCUCCUUUUCCAUCUCUUUAAAAAACAAGCUAACUAAAUACAAAUAUAUUCAUUAA